AGUUCCAUCUCUCAACAAGGUCUGGAAGUGCUCUUGGUUUCUGGAUUUGUGCAUCUUAUUAAGCUCGGUAUCACAUGUGAAAUAAGAUGUGUGGAUGCUUCAGAGAUCAGAAGUGAUGAAGCUCUUCAGAGAUCCAGAUGUUUUUCGUUUCGACUGUCCUGGCUGGAGGCAAGCAGAGGGGAUACGCAGCGGCGCUUCAGCACCUUGGACAGAGCCGGAGCGGCCGCGCGGAUCCCUGCACAGCUGGACGGGCCACGGAACAGCUGGAGCCUCAGUGCACAGCUGGACCGACAACAGCCCAGCAGGGAAGUCCCUCCUUGAGGGGGUGCUGGGGCUUGGAUGCUCUUUCACGUGCCUGGUGUUGUGCUGUGCAAAGCUGAACAGAUAUUUAACGCUGGAACUGGUCCAGCACUGGAACCAAGAGAAGCCCAAGGACAAAGAUGAAGUGCGUGACCAGAAGCAACAUCAGAACCCAUGAUUUUGCCCCAUGCUCCUGUAUCUCAGCUGCCUGAUUGUUUUUGAAGCAGCUUUAAAGACGUGGCAUAUAGAGCUGCAGAGACUGUACUCCUCUAGUCACGCUGUCUUUUUAUUCCCUGGAUACUGUUUAUCCCACAUCAUUACACAGAUGGAGACUCCCAUCACAUAAUUAUGGUAAGGACUGGCAUUUUCUGCACUCAGCACUACCAUAUACCACUAUAGAAAUUUUAGUAUCAAGAAUGUUUUCUUCAAUGUACCCUUUAUAGUAGGUAAAAAAUAAAAAACAA